rnacentral:rRNA from 1 species
GAUGAACGCUGGCGGCGUGCCUAAUACAUGCAAGUCGAGCGAACAGACGAGGAGCUUGCUCCUCUGACGUUAGCGGCGGACGGGUGAGUAACACGUGGAUAACCUACCUAUAAGACUGGGAUAACUUCGGGAAACCGGAGCUAAUACCGGAUAAUAUAUUGAACCGCAUGGUUCAAUAGUGAAAGACGGUUUUGCUGUCACUUAUAGAUUGAUCCGCGCCGCAUUAGCUAGUUGGUAAGGUAACGGCUUACCAAGGCAACGAUGCGUAGCCGACCUGAGAGGGUGAUCGGCCACACUGGAACUGAGACACGGUCCAGACUCCUACGGGAGGCAGCAGUAGGGAAUCUUCCGCAAUGGGCGCAAGCCUGACGGAGCAACGCCGCGUGAGUGAUGAAGGUCUUCGGAUCGUAAAACUCUGUUAUUAGGGAAGAACAAAUGUGUAAGUAACUAUGCACGUCUUGACGGUACCUAAUCAGAAAGCCCCGGCUAACUACGUG